UUUAAUAUGGCAGAUAAAGUGCUUUAGAGUUAAGUUCUAAUUAUGAAAAACCAAUUUCUAUUAAAA
rnacentral:tRNA from 1 species